rnacentral:rRNA from 1 species
AGUGAACGCUGGCGGCAGGCCUAACACAUGCAAGUCGAGCGGCAGCGGGUCCCCGCGAGGGGAUGCCGGCGAGCGGCGGACGGGUGAGGAACACAUCGGAAUCUGCCUGGUUGUGGGGGAUAACGUAGGGAAACUUACGCUAAUACCGCAUGCGACCCUGAGUCGACGGACUGGGGGUGAAAGUGAGGGACCUUCGGGCCUCACGCGACCAGAUGAGCCGAUGUCGGAUUAGCUAGUUGGCGGGGUAACGGCCCGCCAAGGCGACGAUCCGUAGCUGGUCUGAGAGGAUGAUCAGCCACACUGGGACUGAGACACGGCCCAGACUCUACGGGAGGCAGCAGUGGGAAUCUUGGACAAUGGGCGCAAGCCUGAUCCAGCCAUGCCGCGUGGGU